rnacentral:rRNA from 1 species
GUGGGGAAUUUUGGACAAUGGGGGCAACCCUGAUCCAGCCAUGCCGCGUGCGGGAAGAAGGCCUUCGGGUUGUAAACCGCUUUUAGCUGGGAAGAAAAGGCACGGGCCAAUACCCCGUGUUCUUGACGGUACCGGCGGAAUAAGCACCGGCUAACUACGUGCCAGCAGCCGCGGUAAUACGUAGGGUGCGAGCGUUAAUCGGAAUUACUGGGCGUAAAGCGUGCGCAGGCGGUUCGUUGUGUUUGCGGUGAAAGCCCCGGGCUCAACCUGGGAAUGGCCGUGAAAACUGGCGAGCUGGAGUGUGGCAGAGGGGGGUGGAAUUCCAGGUGUAGCAGUGAAAUGCGUAGAGAUCUGGAGGAACACCGAUGGCGAAGGCAGCCCCCUGGGCUGACACUGACGCUCAGGCACGAAAGCGUGGGGAGCAAACAGGAUUAGAUACCCCGGUAGUCC